rnacentral:rRNA from 1 species
CAGCCGCCACGGUAAUACGUAGGGUGCAAGCGUUAAUCGGAAUUACUGGGCGUAAAGCGUGCGCAGGCGGUUUUGUAAGACUGAUGUGAAAUCCCCGGGCUCAACCUGGGAACUGCAUUGGUGACUGCAACGCUGGAGUGCGGCAGAGGGGGAUGGAAUUCCGCGUGUAGCAGUGAAAUGCGUAGAUAUGCGGAGGAACACCGAUGGCGAAGGCAAUCCCCUGGGCCUGCACUGACGCUCAUGCACGAAAGCGUGGGGAGCAAACAGGAUUAGAUACCCCGGUAGUCCCUGUCUCUUAUAC